rnacentral:lncRNA from 1 species
AUAUAAUGUUCUAAUUCAUACCAAAACUCAACAUAAAUACAAAUAUUCUGAAUAUGCUCUUAUAUGUUUGAAAUAUGUGUUUUCAAUCGUAAUGAUUUAAGAUGAGCUACAAUGUGGAAGAUACAUAUCUCAAAUUAUGAUUUUGAAAGCCUCUAUUGAAAAUCUUUAUGAAAUUCAGAAUCUGAUUUUAUAUAAAAGCUUAAACUCAAUAUGAUUUCUAGAUAAAAACUACAGUUUAAGAAAAAUAGAAUAAUUCUGAUGCCUUGAUUGUUUGCCCCGAUACGCAUCUGAAACAUAUCAUUUCUUA